GAUGAACGCUGGCGGCGUGCCUAAUACAUGCAAGUCGAGCGAACAGACGAGGAGCUUGCUCCUCUGAUGUUAGCGGCGGACGGGUGAAUAACACGUGGAUAACCUACCUAUAAGACUGGGAUAACUUCGGGAAACCGGAGCUAAUACCGGAUAACAUGUUGAACCGCAUGGUUCAACAGUGAAAGACGGUCUUGCUGUCACUUAUAGAUGGAUCCGCGCCGCAUUAGCUAGUUGGUAAGGUAACGGCUUACCAAGGCAACGAUGCGUAGCCGACCUGAGAGGGUGAUCGGCCACACUGGAACUGAGACACGGUCCAGACUCCUACGGGAGGCAGCAGUAGGGAAUCUUCCGCAAAGGGCGAAAGCCUGACGGAGCAACGCCGCGUGAGUGAAGAAGGUCUUCGGAUCGUAAAACUCUGUUAUUAGGGAAGAACAAAUGUGUAAGUAACUAUGCACGUCUUGACGGUACCUAAUCAGAAAGCCACGGCUAACUACGUG
rnacentral:rRNA from 1 species